rnacentral:tRNA from 1 species
CCCUGGGUGGUGCAAAUAGUUAACACACUUGGCUGCUAACUAAAAGAUUGGAAGUUUGAGUCUUUCCAGAGGUA